UGUGGUGACCUGUGUCCUCUCCCUCCUGUAGUUAGAGUACCUGGUGAUACAGUUGCACCACAAUGGAAAUUCAAUCAAGAGCUGGACUGGAGUGAGCAGCAACCACUCUCCUGUCUCACUCCCGCUGACCUGCUAAUCGAUCAAUUAAACCAAUCAGGAAUUUCAAACACAUCUGAACUGAAGGCACUUCACUUUCACCAACUGUCAUGGAAGAGUCGGAGGUCUGUUCCCUGCCUGGGGGACUUGCCAGUGUGAGGAAACAAUUUGAGACCCAGGAAACCUCCACAUCACACAAUGUAACCCAGUUCCAUUUUCAUCACAGAACUGUGCAGGAAAUGUCGAACUCUGAGAUGACAUUGUCAACCAGCAGCAGGCAGGUUGUCCAAGGCAGUGAGCAGCUACAUUUCAACCAAGAAGCGAUGGUGUCUUACAGCGACAGUAACUUGGCAUCCAGUUAUGAAAACUAUCAAAAUGAAACAGGUGGGAUAUUGUUUGGAUAUUUUUAUUUUUAUUCUCUGCCAUAUACACUGUCCCAGCCUGACUAA
rnacentral:lncRNA from 1 species